rnacentral:rRNA from 1 species
CAGCCGCCGCGGUAAUACGUAGGUGGCAAGCGUUGUCCGGAAUUAUUGGGCGUAAAGGGCUCGCAGGCGGUUUCUUAAGUCUGAUGUGAAAGCCCCCGACUCAACCGGGGAGGGUCAUUGGAAACUGGGAAACUUGAGUGCAGAAGAGGAGAGUGGAAUUCCACGUGUAGCGGUGAAAUGCGUAGAGAUGUGGAGGAACACCAGUGGCGAAGGCGACUCUCUGGUCUGUAACUGACGCUGAGGAGCGAAAGCGUGGGGAGCGAACAGGAUUAGAUACCCCAGUAGUCCCUGUCUCUUAUAU